CCUUGGGCCUUGGGGGUCUCCGCUGGACCUCCAGGAAGUCAGCUUCUGUGGAGUCCCGUGAGUCCUUCCAGGGAGGGAGGCAUCCAACCCGAGGGUGGUCUGGAGGGCACCACUCCCGCCACUCCCGGGGGCUGGGGCGGGGGGCGGGGUGGGGGCUGCGGCCACGUUCCUGUUCAUUCACACAGAAUCCGGGGCAUGAAUGUUCUUAGCAGCUCUGUUCCACACAGACCCACACUGGAAACCACACAGACGUCCUGCAAGUCCCAUCCCUUGCUCAUGUCGCCGGGGCUCCGGAGGAGGGCCACUCUGUAAAAGCGGCCGCCAGAUGGCGCCCAACAACCGGCGCGGAGGGGUCAGCGGGAGGGAACCGGGUCACCGGCCAGCGAGAGUGCACAGCCUGAGCCCACCGCCGGGUCAGGAGGAGACUAGAAGUUAGAGAAAAGUAUCCUUUCGAGAGCGAGAAAAACCAAUUCUGAUUUUGCAUCAGCUUCCCUCCGAUCUUGAAACUCAUUGACUUGAUUCCAUUCUGUCGAUGGAAAUAAUCCGGAACCAAUCUAUCCGUGAAAAUCGGGGCUGGCCCUGAGCUAACCUCCGUGCCCAUCUUCCUCUAUUUCAUAUGUGGGACGCCUACCACCACGUGGCUCGCCCAGCGGUGCCACGUCCACCCCCGGGAUCCGAACCGGCGAACCCCGGGCCGGCGAAGUGGAACAGGCACACUUAACCAGCGCGCCACUGGGCCGGCCUAGUGGCUUUCAUCGCAUUCGUUAAGUAGAAUUUUUAACCCUCACGAACCUUAAUUUUGGUGAAAACUAAGAAGUCAGCAAUUAGGAACUGUCCUUCCCAUGAGCAGUCUGUCGCUUGGCCAAUUUCUAAACACUUGGCCACUUUUAGAAACAUGGGAUUUCAUAGGUUUAUCUCUUCCUUCGCUUUAUUUGAUUUCAUCUCACUUUAGUUUUUGGGUGAGGAAGAUCGGCCCUCACAGAGUUAACGCCUGUUGCCAAUCUUCCUCUUCUUUCUGCUUGAGGGAGAGCGGGCCCGAGGUAACACCUGCGCCCCACUUCCUUGAUCUUGCGGACGGGAUGCCGCCACAGCCCGGUGUGAGGAGCGGUGGAGGUCCACGCCCGGGAUCUGAACCCGAGGACCCCAGGCUGCCGAAGCUGAGUGCAGGAGCUUAACCACUAUGCCGCCGGGCCGCCGUCCCCUGUCAAAGCUUUUAAUAAAGCACGAGACGUGUUCCUCGAUAGACCCAAACGUCUUUUCGUUUCCGUAUCCUCACAAACCCAAAGUAGAUAAACUUCUAUUUAGCCACUCACGUCUCAGGUUCUAUCUUACUAGGAAAUGAUCUACAUCGUCAGGGAAAUUGUUUUUGUCUUAAGUUUGGCACCCGAGCUAACGACUCUUGCCAAUCUUCCGUUUUUGUUUUUUUCCCCCCCUCCCGAUUUUUCUCCCCAAAUC